rnacentral:rRNA from 1 species
AACGAACGCUGGCGGCAUGCCUAACACAUGCAAGUCGAACGAGAUCUUCGGGUCUAGUGGCGCACGGGUGCGUAACGCGUGGGAACCUGCCCUUUGGUUCGGAAUAACAGUUGGAAACGACUGCUAAUACCGGAUGAUGACGAAAGUCCAAAGAUUUAUCGCCAGAGGAUGAGCCCGCGUAGGAUUAGCUAGUUGGUGUGGUAACGGCGCACCAAGGCGACGAUCCUUAGCUGGUCUGAGAGGAUGAUCAGCCACACUGGGACUGAGACACGGCCCAAACUCCUACGGGAGGCAGCAGUGGGGAAUAUUGGUCAAUGGGCGAAAGCCUGAUCCAGCAAUGCCGCGUGAGUGAUGAAGGCCUUAGGGUUGUAAAGCUCUUUUACCCGGGAUGAUAAUGACAGUACCGGGAGAAUAAGCUCCGGCUAACUACGUGCCAGCCGCCGCCGUAA